rnacentral:rRNA from 1 species
UACGUAGGGUGCAAGCGUUAAUCGGAAUUACUGGGCGUAAAGCGUGCGCAGGCGGUUCGCUAAGACAGAUGUGAAAUCCCCGGGCUUAACCUGGGAACUGCAUUUGUGACUGGCGGGCUAGAGUAUGGCAGAGGGGGGUAGAAUUCCACGUGUAGCAGUGAAAUGCGUAGAGACGUGGAGGAAUACCGAUGGCGAAGGCAGCCCCCUGGGCCAAUACUGACGCUCAUGCACGAAAGCGUGGGGAGCAAACAGG